UCCCGUGUGGCUCAGUUGGUAGAGCAUGGUGUUUGCAACGCCAGGGUUGUGGGUUCGAUUCCCAUGGGGAA
rnacentral:tRNA from 1 species